AUUGAACGCUGGCGGCAUGCUUUACACAUGCAAGUCGAACGUUAACAGGCCGCAAGGUGCUGACGAGUGGCGAACGGGUGAGUAAUGCAUCGGAACGUGCCCAGUCGUGGGGGAUAACGCAGCGAAAGCUGCGUUAAUACCGCAUACGAUCUAUGGAUGAAAGCGGGGGACCGUAAGGCCUCGCGCGAUUGGAGCGGCCGAUGGCAGAUUAGGUAGUUGGUGGGGUAAAGGCUCACCAAGCCAACGAUCUGUAGCUGGUCUGAGAGGACGACCAGCCACACUGGGACUGAGACACGGCCCAGACUCCUACGGGAGGCAGCAGUGGGGAAUUUUGGACAAUGGGCGCAAGCCUGAUCCAGCAAUGCCGCGUGCAGGAAGAAGGCCUUCGGGUUGUAAACUGCUUUUGUACGGAACGAAACGGUCUGGGUUAAUACCUCGGGCUAAUGACGGUACCGUAAGAAUAAGCACCGGCUAACUACGUGCCAGCCGCCGCGGUAAGAC
rnacentral:rRNA from 1 species